GGUUGGCUCAGAAGCAGCCAUCCUUUAAAGAGUGCGUAACAGCUCACUAGUCGAGUGACCCUGCGCCGAAAAUGUACCGGGGCUAAGCCUGAUACCGAAACUGCGGAUUGUAGGAAACUAUAGUGGUAGGGGAGCGUUGUAUACGAGCAGAAGCCGUACCGUGAGGAGCGGUGGAUUGUAUAGAAGUGAGAAUGCCGGUGUGAGUAGCGAGAUGUAGGUGAGAAUCCUACACACCGAAAGCCCAAGGAUUCCAGGGGAAGGUUCGUCCGCCCUGGGUAAGUCGGGACCUAACGCGAGGCCGAAAGGCGUAGUGGAUGGAAAGCAGGCGAAAGAUUCCUGCACCCGUAUAUGGAGCGAAGGAGUGACGGAGACGGAUAGUGUGACCCUCUUAAUGGAUUGAGGGCGAAGCGAAGCGGCUGGUUACCAGGCAAAUCCGGUAACCAUAAGGCUAGAGCGUGACAGGUAAGCGAAAUCUUAGGAAAGUAGCGAAGCACAUGAUGACGGCUUCCAGGAAAAGCUUCUGGCAAUGCAUAUGCGGCCCGUACCAAAACCGACACAGGUGGGCAGGGAGAGAAUCCCGAGGUGAGCGAGAGAACUGUUGCCAAGGAACUCGGCAAAAUGACUCCGUAAGUUAGCGAGAAGGAGUGCUUAAGCAAUUAAGCCGCAGUGAAGAGGCCCAAGCGACUGUUUAACUAAAACACAGCUCUCUGCGAAGUCGCAAGACGAAGUAUAGGGGGUGACACCUGCCCGGUGCUGGAAGGUUAAGAGGAUCUGUUAAGAGCGAUCUGAAGCAGUGAUCCGAAGCCCCAGUGAACGGCGGCCGUAACUAUAACGGUCCUAAGGUAGCGAAAUUCCUUGUCAGGUAAGUUCUGACCCGCACGAAAGGUGUAACGAUUUGGGCGCUGUCUCGGCAGCAGACUCGGUGAAAUCUUAGUACCUGUGAAAAUGCAGGUUACCCGCAACUAGACGGAAAGACCCCAUGGAGCUUUACUGCAGCCUGAUAUUGAAUUCUGGUCAUACAUGUACAGGAUAGGUGGGAGACAAAGAGACGUGCACGCCAGUGUACGAGGAGUCGACGUUGGGAUACCACUCUUGUGUGACCGGGGUUCUAACCUGGUAUCGAGAACAGGUACGGGGAGAGUGUCAGGUGGGCAGUUUGACUGGGGCGGUCGCCUCCCAAAGAGUAACGGAGGCGCCCAAAGGUACGCUCAGAUUGGAUGGAAACCAAUCGUCGAGUGCAAUUGCAGAAGCGUGCUUGACUGUGAGACAGACAAGUCGAACAGGGACGAAAGUCGGGAAUAGUGAUCCGGCGGUGCCGAAUGGAAGGGCCGUCGCUCAACGGAUAAAAGCUACCCUGGGGAUAACAGGCUGAUCUCGCCCAAGAGUUCACAUCGACGGCGAGGUUUGGCACCUCGAUGUCGGCUCAUCGCAUCCUGGAGCUGGAUUCGGUUCCAAGGGUUGGGCUGUCCGCCCAUUAAAGCGGUACGCGAGCUGGGUUCAGAACGUCGUGAGACAGUUCGGUCCCUAUCUGUUGUGGGCGAAGGAGAUCUGCGGAGAGCUGUCCUCAGUACGAGAGGACCGGGAUGGACCUACCGCUGGUGCACCGGUUGUUCCGCCAGGGGCAUAGCCGGGUAGCUAAGUAGGGAAAGGAUAAGCGCUGAAAGCAUCUAAGCACGAAGCCUACUCCAAGAUGAGAUCUCCCAUUCG
rnacentral:rRNA from 1 species